rnacentral:rRNA from 1 species
UACGAAGGGGGCGAGCGUUGUUCGGAUUUACUGGGCGUAAAGGGCGCGCAGGCGGUUUGUCGCGUCUGCUGUGAAAACCCGAGGCUCAACCUCGGGCCUGCAGUGGGUACGGGCAGACUAGAGUGCGGUAGGGGAGAUUGGAAUUCCUGGUGUAGCGGUGGAAUGCGCAGAUAUCAGGAGGAACACCAAUGGCGAAAGGCAGAUCUCUGGGCCGUAACUGACGCUGAGGAGCGAAAGCAUGGGGAGCGAACAGG